GAUUAUCAAAGCUCCCUGACCUGUGGGACAGUGAGCCUGGAAGAAAUGCUCAUGAGGAAUUCUCAUGAAGGCUAUUCUACUAGGGAAGAUACGACAAGUACAUCAGGACCUAUACAGGAAACCAAGAAAAUGAGGCCAAAUACUGAAACAGUCACCAGGAUUUCAUGAACUAUUCCAGAAGCCCUUCUAGCAGAGGCAUCAUGGCGGACUUUAUGCACAAACAUUUGUUGAUGAAGGCAUCAAAUCCUGAAACCCAAAACACUUCCUCUAAGCAAAGAAUCGCUGAACAAACCAAACUGACCUACACACAUUGACCACGUCUGAAAGCACAUUUCAUUUGACACCCUUGGUCUCCCAACUCUGCUGAAAUAAUGGGAGAGGAGCUCCGUUUCAUCUUACAUCUGGAGUCAGGACAAAACAACAAUCUCUUCUCUCCUCUCCACGACAAACGGGAAGCCAGCUUGCUAGCGUACUUUGGAGCUUUUCCUCUCCAGCCUGGAGAUGCCCAGUUCCUUCCCCUGAUCCUUGGAUGUCAUGGACUGAACCUGUCUCACCAUCUUGGUCCAGCUAAUCAAUGCCCCUGAACUAUGGCCCUCCCACACUCGAUACUAUUUUGUUUCCAGGAAGAAUUUGAGGUCUAAAAAAUAUGAAGAAUAAACACAUAAAAAGGCACUUCCCA
rnacentral:lncRNA from 1 species